rnacentral:rRNA from 1 species
AUUGAACGCUGGCGGCAGGCCUAACACAUGCAAGUCGAGCGGAUGACGGGAGCUUGCUCCUUGAUUCAGCGGCGGACGGGUGAGUAAUGCCUAGGAAUCUGCCUGGUAGUGGGGGACAACGUUUCGAAAGGAACGCUAAUACCGCAUACGUCCUACGGGAGAAAGCAGGGGACCUUCGGGCCUUGCGCUAUCAGAUGAGCCUAGGUCGGAUUAGCUAGUUGGUGGGGUAAUGGCUCACCAAGGCGACGAUCCGUAACUGGUCUGAGAGGAUGAUCAGUCACACUGGAACUGGGACACGGUCCAGACUCCUACGGGAGGCAGCAGUGGGGAAUAUUGGACAAUGGGCGAAAGCCUGAUCCAGCCAUGCCGCGUGUGUGAAGAAGGUCUUCGGAUUGUAAAGCACUUUAAGUUGGGAGGAAGGGCAGUAAGUUAAUACCUUGCUGUUUUGACGUUACCGACAGAAUAAGCACCGGCUAACUCUGUGCCAGCAGCCGCAGUAACAC